rnacentral:rRNA from 1 species
UUAAGCGACUAAGCGUACACGGUGGAUGCCCUGGCAGUCAGAGGCGAUGAAGGACGUGCUAAUCUGCGAUAAGCGUCGGUAAGGUGAUAUGAACCGUUAUAACCGGCGAUUUCCGAAUGGGGAAACCCAGUGUGAUUCGUCACACUAUCAUUAACUGAAUCCAUAGGUUAAUGAGGCGAACCGGGGGAACUGAAACAUCUAAGUACCCCGAGGAAAAGAAAUCAACCGAGAUUCCCCCAGUAGCGGCGAGCGAACGGGGAGCAGCCCAGAGCCUGAAUCAGUGUGUGUGUUAGUGGAAGCGUCUGGAAAGGCGCGCGAUACAGGGUGACAGCCCCGUACACAAAAAUGCACAUGCUGUGAGCUCGAUGAGUAGGGCGGGACACGUGGUAUCCUGUCUGAAUAUGGGGGGACCAUCCUCCAAGGCUAAAUACUCCUGACUGACCGAUAGUGAACCAGUACCGUGAGGGAAAGGCGAAAAGAACCCCGGCGAGGGGAGUGAAAAAGAACCUGAAACCGUGUACGUACAAGCAGUGGGAGCACGCUUAGGCGUGUGACUGCGUACCUUUUGUAUAAUGGGUCAGCGACUUAUAUUCUGUAGCAAGGUUAACCGAAUAGGGGAGCCGAAGGGAAACCGAGUCUUAACUGGGCGUUAAGUUGCAGGGUAUAGACCCGAAACCCGGUGAUCUAGCCAUGGGCAGGUUGAAGGUUGGGUAACACUAACUGGAGGACCGAACCGACUAAUGUUGAAAAAUUAGCGGAUGACUUGUGGCUGGGGGUGAAAGGCCAAUCAAACCGGGAGAUAGCUGGUUCUCCCCGAAAGCUAUUUAGGUAGCGCCUCGUGAACUCAUCUCCGGGGGUAGAGCACUGUUUCGGCAAGGGGGUCAUCCCGACUUACCAACCCGAUGCAAACUGCGAAUACCGGAGAAUGUUAUCACGGGAGACACACGGCGGGUGCUAACGUCCGUCGUGAAGAGGGAAACAACCCAGACCGCCAGCUAAGGUCCCAAAGUCAUGGUUAAGUGGGAAACGAUGUGGGAAGGCCCAGACAGCCAGGAUGUUGGCUUAGAAGCAGCCAUCAUUUAAAGAAAGCGUAAUAGCUCACUGGUCGAGUCGGCCUGCGCGGAAGAUGUAACGGGGCUAAACCAUGCACCGAAGCUGCGGCAGCGACGCUUAUGCGUUGUUGGGUAGGGGAGCGUUCUGUAAGCCUGUGAAGGUGUGCUGUGAGGCAUGCUGGAGGUAUCAGAAGUGCGAAUGCUGACAUAAGUAACGAUAAAGCGGGUGAAAAGCCCGCUCGCCGGAAGACCAAGGGUUCCUGUCCAACGUUAAUCGGGGCAGGGUGAGUCGACCCCUAAGGCGAGGCCGAAAGGCGUAGUCGAUGGGAAACAGGUUAAUAUUCCUGUACUUGGUGUUACUGCGAAGGGGGGACGGAGAAGGCUAUGUUGGCCGGGCGACGGUUGUCCCGGUUUAAGCGUGUAGGCUGGUUUUCCAGGCAAAUCCGGAAAAUCAAGGCUGAGGCGUGAUGACGAGGCACUACGGUGCUGAAGCAACAAAUGCCCUGCUUCCAGGAAAAGCCUCUAAGCAUCAGGUAACAUCAAAUCGUACCCCAAACCGACACAGGUGGUCAGGUAGAGAAUACCAAGGCGCUUGAGAGAACUCGGGUGAAGGAACUAGGCAAAAUGGUGCCGUAACUUCGGGAGAAGGCACGCUGAUAUGUAGGUGAAGUCCCUCGCGGAUGGAGCUGAAAUCAGUCGAAGAUACCAGCUGGCUGCAACUGUUUAUUAAAAACACAGCACUGUGCAAACACGAAAGUGGACGUAUACGGUGUGACGCCUGCCCGGUGCCGGAAGGUUAAUUGAUGGGGUCAGCGCAAGCGAAGCUCUUGAUCGAAGCCCCGGUAAACGGCGGCCGUAACUAUAACGGUCCUAAGGUAGCGAAAUUCCUUGUCGGGUAAGUUCCGACCUGCACGAAUGGCGUAAUGAUGGCCAGGCUGUCUCCACCCGAGACUCAGUGAAAUUGAACUCGCUGUGAAGAUGCAGUGUACCCGCGGCAAGACGGAAAGACCCCGUGAACCUUUACUAUAGCUUGACACUGAACAUUGAGCCUUGAUGUGUAGGAUAGGUGGGAGGCUUAGAAGUGUGGACGCCAGUCUGCAUGGAGCCGACCUUGAAAUACCACCCUUUAAUGUUUGAUGUUCUAACGUUGACCCGUAAUCCGGGUUGCGGACAGUGUCUGGUGGGUAGUUUGACUGGGGCGGUCUCCUCCUAAAGAGUAACGGAGGAGCACGAAGGUUGGCUAAUCCUGGUCGGACAUCAGGAGGUUAGUGCAAUGGCAUAAGCCAGCUUGACUGCGAGCGUGACGGCGCGAGCAGGUGCGAAAGCAGGUCAUAGUGAUCCGGUGGUUCUGAAUGGAAGGGCCAUCGCUCAACGGAUAAAAGGUACUCCGGGGAUAACAGGCUGAUACCGCCCAAGAGUUCAUAUCGACGGCGGUGUUUGGCACCUCGAUGUCGGCUCAUCACAUCCUGGGGCUGAAGUAGGUCCCAAGGGUAUGGCUGUUCGCCAUUUAAAGUGGUACGCGAGCUGGGUUUAGAACGUCGUGAGACAGUUCGGUCCCUAUCUGCCGUGGGCGCUGGAGAACUGAGGGGGGCUGCUCCUAGUACGAGAGGACCGGAGUGGACGCAUCACUGGUGUUCGGGUUGUCAUGCCAAUGGCACUGCCCGGUAGCUAAAUGCGGAAGAGAUAAGUGCUGAAAGCAUCUAAGCACGAAACUUGCCCCGAGAUGAGUUCUCCCUGACCCUUUAAGGGUCCUGAAGGAACGUUGAAGACGACGACGUUGAUAGGCCGGGUGUGUAAGCGCAGCGAUGCGUUGAGCUAACCGGUACUAAUGAACCGUGAGGCUUAACCUU